GAUGAACGCUGGCGGCGUGCCUAAUACAUGCAAGUCGAGCGAACGGACGCUAAUCUUGCUUCUCUGAUGUUAGCGGCGGACGUGUGUGUAACACGUGGAUAACCUACCUAUAAGUCUGGGAUAACUUCGGGAAACCGGAGCUUAUACCGGAUGAUAUUUUGAACCGCAUGGUUCUAAAGUGAUAGACGGUCUUGCUGUCACUUAUAGAUGGAUCCGCGCUGCAUUAGCUAGUUGGUAAGGUAACGGGUUACCAUGGCACCGCUGCAUAGCCGACGUGAGAGGGGGAUCGGACCAACAGGAAGUGAAACACCGUCCAGACUACUACGUGAGGGCGCAGGAGGGAAUCGUCGGCAAUAGGCGAAAGCAUGACGGAGUAACGCCGACUGAGUGAAGAAGGUCUACGGAUCGUAAAACCCUGUUAUUAGGGAAGAACAUAAGUGUAAGGAACAGUGCACAUCUUGACGGUACCUACUCAGAAAGCCACGGCUAACUACGUG
rnacentral:rRNA from 1 species